rnacentral:rRNA from 1 species
GGGCUCCUCGGAGCUAGUGGCGGACGGGUGAGUAACGCGUGAGAAUCUGCCUCCAGGUCUGGGACAACAGAAGGAAACUUCUGCUAAUCCCGGAUGAGCCCUUGGGUAAAAGAUAAAUUGCCUGGAGAUGAGCUCGCGUCUGAUUAGCUAGUUGGUGUGAUAAAACCAUACCAAGGCGACGAUCAGUAGCUGGUCUGAGAGGAUGAGCAGCCACACUGGGACUGACACACGGCCCAGACUCCUACGGGAGGCAGCAGUGGGGAAUUUUCCGCAAUGGGCGAAAGCCUGACGGAGCACGACCGCGUGGGGGAGGAAAGCUCGAGGGUAGCCAACCCCUUUUCUUUGGGA